UCCUAGUCCUGAUUACAAUGGAAAUCCUUUUUAUUUUUUUCUUUAAAAAAUAAAAAGAUUAAAAUGAAAAGCAGUCCCGAUA
rnacentral:sRNA from 1 species